rnacentral:rRNA from 1 species
GGAAGGUGCGAGCGUUAAUCGGAAUCACUGGGCGUAAAGCGCGCGUAGGCGGUUAGGUAAGUCAGAUGUGAAAGCCCCGGGGCUCAACCUGGGAACUGCGUUUGAUACUGCCUGACUAGAGUGUGGUAGAGGGAAGUGGAAUUCCACAUGUAGCGGUGAAAUGCGUAGAGAUGUGGAGGAACACCAAUGGCGAAGGCAACUUCCUGGAUCAACACUGACGCUCAGGUGCGAAAGCGUGGGGAGCAAACAGGAUUAGAUACCCUGGUAGUCCACGCUGUAAACGAUGUCUACUAGCCGUUGGGAGGGUUUGCCUCUUAGUGGCGCAGCUAACGUGAUAAGUAGACCGCCUGGGGAGUACGGCCGCAAGGGUA